rnacentral:rRNA from 1 species
UACGUAGGGGGCGAGCGUUGUCCGGAUUUAUUGGGCGUAAAGAGCGUGUAGGCGGCUUGGUAGGUCUGCUGUGAAAACUCGGGGCUCAACCCCGAGACGUCGGUGGAAACCACCUGGCUAGAGUCCGGAAGAGGAGAGUGGAAUUCCUGGUGUAGCGGUGAAAUGCGCAGAUAUCAGGAGGAACACCCGUGGCGAAAGCGGCUCUCUGGGACGGUACUGACGCUGAGACGCGAAAGCGUGGGGAGCAAACAGG